rnacentral:lncRNA from 1 species
ACAAUCGCUAUUUGCAAAACAUCAACAACCAUCCUAAAAAUAUGGUUAAACAAUAGAUCUGAUGAAAAAAAAACCCACCAACAAACUAUGCACAUCACAAACCAUCCAUAACAGAUCAGAUCACAAAAAUCACCAACAAAUAUGUCAUUAAAUAGGCAGCAUCAUUGGCACCACCUCAUAAGCAGCAUUAUCGACGCCUAAUAAGCAACAUCAUCAGCACUGCCUCUACUGUGGGCAGCAUCAUCUACCAACAACAAAACAACCCAUAAUAAAAAAAAAAAAUCACAAUCGCUAUUUGCAAAACAUCAACAACCAUCCUAAAAAUAUGGUUAAACAAUAGAUCUGAUGAAAAAAAAAACCCACCAACAAACUAUGCACAUCACAAACCAUUCAUAACAGAUCAGAUCACAAAAAUCACCAACAAAUAUGUCAUUAAAUAGGCAGCAUCAUUGGCACCACCUCAUAAGCAGCAUUAUCGACGCCUAAUAAGCAACAUCAUCAGCACUG